CUUUGGUUUGUGAGAUUUUAGCCAAAAACUGCAUUUUACCCUAUGUACUAUUGUUAGCCAUGUCGGCCAUCUUGGUUUCGCAGGCAGGGUAGGACACAUUUUUUAAACUAGAUACCUAAUGAUGAUUGCAGCCAAGUUUGGUUAAAUUUGUCUAAGUUUCAGAGAAGAAGAUUUUUGUACAAGAUAUCAAAAUUUACGAAAAAUUGACUAUAAAGGGCAAUAACUCCUUACGGGGUCAACUGACCAUUUUGGUCAUGUUGAUUUUUUUGUA
rnacentral:lncRNA from 1 species